rnacentral:lncRNA from 10 species
CAAGUGUGAGCCACUGUGCCCGGCCUAUGCCUCAAUUUCUUCCUGCCUUACUAUAGGUACAUCAUAUUUAUUUAAUUCCCUAAGUCCCUCCUCAACAGAUUUUAUUCUACUACUGAAAUCCAGUCUGCAGAAACUAAAAGUUGUAUAGUGGAUAUGAAAUUUAUAUAACCACCAUAGUUCAGUAUCUCAGGGGUAAAAAUAAAAUGUGACUAUUUAUUUCCACAAAACUGAACCUAUCAAUUCAAGAUAACUUUUGCUUUAAAACUCACGACUCCUUGAAUCAAUAGUCAAUUUCUGGAUCUUUCUCCUCCUCCUAGGUCCUCUUCUCCCUGAAGGCUGUCACAGUUCCUGUGCAGAGAGAGAGGGCACUGCAGCACCCAGGCGCUGACUGCCUUUUGUCAGUCUCAUUUGCAGGCCCCCAGCUGGAGAACCCAGGAGGAAGAGGAAAAAAGUUUUUUCCUCCUCUACACUCCCCAUGCAUGACUAAAGAGUAGGAGGAGUCAGCAAGGCAGACAUAUAUAGUACCCAGGAGGUGGACAAACAACUGCCUUGGUGGAAACUCUGUCCUUUCUGGACUUAUCCUGGUGCCACUGAGACUGUGCAGGUCCCACACUUACAGGGAAAGCAUCACCCGAAAGUGAGAAUGCCUA